rnacentral:tRNA from 1 species
GGUGAGAUGGCCGAGCGGUCUAAGGCGCCAGAUUAAGGUUCUGGUCAGAAAUGGCGUGGGUUCGAAUCCCACUCUCAUCA